GGAUGCGAUCAUACCAGCACUAAAGCACCGGAUCCCAUCAAAACUCCGAAGUUAAGCGUGCUUGGGCGAGAGUAGUACUAGGAUGGGUGACCUCCUGAGAAGUCCUCGUGUUGCAUUCC
rnacentral:rRNA from 2 species